rnacentral:rRNA from 1 species
ACGAACGCUGGCGGCGUGCCUAAUACAUGCAAGUCGAACGAACGGAGGAAGAGCUUGCUCUUCCAAAGUUAGUGGCGGACGGGUGAGUAACACGUGGGCAACCUGCCUGUAAGUUGGGGAUAACUCCGGGAAACCGGGGCUAAUACCGAAUGAUARARUGUGGCGCAUGCCACGCUUUUGAAAGAUGGUUUCGGCUAUCGCUUACAGAUGGGCCCGCGGUGCAUUAGCUAGUUGGUAGGGUAAUGGCCUACCAAGGCAACGAUGCAUAGCCGACCUGAGAGGGUGAUCGGCCACACUGGGACUGAGACACGGCCCAGACUCCUACGGGAGGCAGCAGUAGGGAAUCUUCCGCAAUGGACGAAAGUCUGACGGAGCAACGCCGCGUGUAUGAAGAAGGUUUUCGGAUCGUAAAGUACUGUUGUUAGAGAAGAACAAGGAUAAGAGUAACUGCUUGUCCCUUGACGGUAUCUAACCAGAAAGCCACGGC